rnacentral:misc_RNA from 1 species
GUACCCUCAAGCCUCGCUUGGUAUUGGGCAUCGCGGUCCGCCGCGUGCCUCAAAUCGACCGGCUGGGUCUUCUGUCCCCUAAGCGUUGUGGAAACUAUUCGCUAAAGGGUGUUCGGGAGGCUACGCCGUAAAACAACCCCAUUUCUAA